UACGGAGGGUGCAAGCGUUAUCCGGAAUCACUGGGUUUAAAGGGUGCGUAGGCGGCUUGAUAAGUCAGGGGUGAAAGCUUCCCGCUCAACGGGAGAACUGCCCUUGAUACUGUCAGGCUCGAAUUGGGUUGAGGCAGGCGGAAUGUGGCAUGUAGCGGUGAAAUGCUUAGAUAUGCCAUAGAACACCGAUUGCGAAGGCAGCCUGCCAAGCCUUGAUUGACGCUGAGGCACGAAAGCGUGGGGAGCGAACAGG
rnacentral:rRNA from 2 species